UACGUAGGCAGCAAGCGUUGUUCGGAGUUACUGGGCGUAAAGGGUGUGUAGGCGGUUCCUUAAGUUUGCUGUGAAAUCUCCCGGCUUAACCGGGAGGGUGCGGUGAAUACUGAGGGACUAGAGUACGGGAGAGGAGAGUGGAAUUCCCAGUGUAGAGGUGAAAUUCGUAGAUAUUGGGAAGAACACCGGUGGCGAAGGCGGCUCUCUGGACCGACACUGACGCUGAGGCGCGAAAGCGUGGGGAGCAAACAGG
rnacentral:rRNA from 1 species